GUAAAAAAACAAAGAAAAACAAGUUACCUGCGCUCUCUCCUUAAUCCCUAUGUAUUUUUAAACAAAUGGAGGUUGUGUACUGUAGUAACUAAAGGAGGUAACUAAAAAAUCUCCAUUUGUUUAAAAAUACAGAGGGAUUAAGGAGAGAGCGCAGGUAACUUGUUUUUCUUUGGUUUUUAC